rnacentral:misc_RNA from 1 species
GAUGAAGAACGUAGCGAAAUGCGAUAAGUAAUGUGAAUUGCAGAAUUCAGUGAAUCAUCGAAUCUUUGAACGCACAUUGCGCUCCUUGGUAUUCCGAGGGGCAUGCCUGUUCGAGCGUCAUUAUAACCCCUCAAGCUCAGCUUGGUGUUGGGGCCUGCUGCACUGGCAGCCCUUAAAAUCAGUGGCGGCGCCAUCUGGCUCUAAGCGUAGUAAUUCUUCUCGCUAUGGAGUCCUGGUGGAUGCUUGCCAUCAACCCCCAAUUUUUCUAUGGUUGACCUCGGAUCAGGUAGGGAUACCCGCUGAACUUAAGCAUAUCAAUAAGCGGAGGA